rnacentral:rRNA from 1 species
UACGGGGGGGGCAAGCGUUGUUCGGAAUUACUGGGCGUAAAGGGCGCGUAGGCGGCCUUCUAAGUCGGACGUGAAAUCCCUCGGCUUAACCGAGGAACUGCGUCCGAUACUGAAAGGCUUGAAUCCGGGAGAGGGAUGUGGAAUUCCAGGUGUAGCGGUGAAAUGCGUAGAUAUCUGGAGGAACAUCGGUGGCGAAGGCGGCAUCCUGGACCGGUAUUGACGCUGAGGCGCGAAAGCCAGGGGAGCAAACGGG